GCAGUCGCCGCGGGAAUACAGAGGGUGCAAGCGUUAAUCGGAAUUACUGGGCGUAAAGCGCGCGUAGGUGGUUUGUUAAGUUGGAUGUGAAAGCCCCGGGCUCAACCUGGGAACUGCAUCCAAAACUGGCAAGCUAGAGUACGGUAGAGGGUGGUGGAAUUUCCUGUGUAGCGGUGAAAUGCGUAGAUAUAGGAAGGAACACCAGUGGCGAAGGCGACCACCUGGACUGAUACUGACACUGAGGUGCGAAAGCGUGGGGAGCAAACAGGAUUAGAUACCCCGGUAGUCCCUGUCUCUUAUAC
rnacentral:rRNA from 1 species